AUGCAGUCGAACGGCAGCACAGAGGAGCUUGCUCCUUGGGUGGCGAGUGGCGGACGGGUGAGGAAUGCGUCGGAAUCUGCCUUUUUGUGGGGGAUAACGUAGGGAAACUUACGCUAAUACCGCAUACGACCUACGGGUGAAAGUGGGGGACCGCAAGGCCUCACGCAGAAAGAUGAGCCGACGCCGGAUUAGCUAGUUGGCGGGGUAAAGGCCCACCAAGGCGACGAUCCGUAGCUGGUCUGAGAGGAUGAUCAGCCACACUGGGACUGAGACACGGCCCAGACUCCUACGGGAGGCAGCAGUGGGGAAUAUUGGACAAUGGGCGCAAGCCUGAUCCAGCCAUGCCGCGUGUGUGAAGAAGGCCUUCGGGUUGUAAAGCACUUUUGUCCGGAAAGAAAAGCUUCGGGUUAAUAACCUGGAGUCAUGACGGUACCGGAAGAAUAAGCACCGGCUAACUUCGUGCCAGCAGCCGCGGUAAUACGAAGGGUGCAAGCGUUACUCGGAAUUACUGGGCGUAAAGCGUGCGUAGGUGGUUUGUUAAGUCUGAUGUGAAAGCCCUGGGCUCAACCUGGGAACGGCAUUGGAUACUGGCUUACUAGAGUGCGGUAGAGGGUAGCGGAAUUCCCGGUGUAGCAGUGAAAUGCGUAGAUAUCGGGAGGAACAUCCGUGGCGAAAGCGGCUACCUGGACCAGCACUGACACUGAGGCACGAAAGCGUGGGGAGCAA
rnacentral:rRNA from 1 species